rnacentral:rRNA from 1 species
AUUGAACGCUGGCGGCAGGCCUAACACAUGCAAGUCGAACGAGCGGCGGACGGGUGAGUAAUGUCUGGGAAACUGCCCGAUGGAGGGGGAUAACUACUGGAAACGGUAGCUAAUACCGCAUACUAUCGGAUGUGCCCAUAUGGGAUUAGCUUGUAGGUGAGGUAACGGCUCACCUAGGCGACGAUCCCUAGCUGGUCGGAGAGGAUGACCAGCCACACUGGGACUGAGACACGGUCCAGACUCCUACGGGAGGCAGCAGUGGGGAAUAUUGCACAAUGGGCGCAAGCCUGAUGCAGCCAUGCCGCGUGUAUGAAGAAGGCCUUAGGGUUGUAAAGUACUUUCAGCGGGGAGGCGUUACCGGCAGAAGAAGCACCGGCUAACUUCGUGCCAGCAGCCGCGGUAAUAC